rnacentral:rRNA from 1 species
AUGCGUAGGUGACAAGCGUUAUCCGGAUUUACUGGGCGUAAAGGGCGUGUAGGCGGUCUUGCAAGUCAGAAGUGAAAUUCCUGAGCUCAACUCGGGCGCUGCUUCUGAAACUGCAGGACUUGAGUGCUGGAGGGGAUAGCGGAAUUCCUAGUGGAGCGGUAAAAUGCGCAGAUAUUAGGAAGAACACCGGUGGCGAAGGCGGCUAUCUGGACAGUAACUGACGCUGAGGCGCGAAAGUGUGGGGAGCAAACAGGAUUAGAUACCCUGGUAGUCCACACUGUAAACGAUGAAUGCUAGGUGUAAGAGGUAUCGACCCCUUUUGUGCCGGAGUCAACACAAUAAGCAUUCCGCCUGGGGAGUACGGCCGCAAGGUUGAAACUCAAAUGAAUUGGCGGGG